GAACGAACGCUGGCGGCAGGCUUAACACAUGCAAGUCGAACGCCCCGCAAGGGGAGUGGCAGACGGGUGAGUAACGCGUGGGAACGUACCCUUUACUACGGAAUAACUCAGGGAAACUUGUGCUAAUACCGUAUGUGCCCUUCGGGGGAAAGAUUUAUCGGUAAAGGAUCGGCCCGCGUUGGAUUAGCUAGUUGGUGGGGUAAAGGCCUACCAAGGCGACGACGGGUAGCCGGCCUGAGAGGGUGACCGGCCACACUGGAACUGAGACACGGUCCAGACUCCUACGGGAGGCAGCAGUGGGGAAUUUUGGGCAAUGGGGGAGACCCUGACCCAGCGACGCCGCGUGAGGGAAGACGGCCUUCGGGUUGUAAACCUCUUUUGUACGGGAAGAUAAUGACGGUACUGUACGAAUAAGUCCCGGCUAACUACGUGCCAGCAGCCGCGGUAAUACGUAGGGGACGAGCGUUGUCCGGAAUUACUGGGCGUAAAGGGCGCGCAGGCUGCGUUACAAGUCAGCUGUUAAAAUCAUGGGCUUACCCCAUGAGUGCGGUUGAAACUGUAGUGCUUGAGUACUGUAGAGGCAAGCGGAAUUCCCAGUGUAGCGGUGAAAUGCGUAGAUAUUGGGAGGAACACCGGUGGCGUAGGCGGCUUGCUGGACAGUAACUGACGCUGAGGCGCGAAAGCCAGGGGAGCAAACGGGAUUAGAUACCCCGGUAGUCCUGGCUGUAAACGAUGAAUGCUAGGUGUGGGUGUAGCGAUACAUCUGUGCCGUAGUUAACGCGUUAAGCAUUCCGCCUGGGGAGUACGGUCGCAAGAUUGAAACUCAAAGGAAUUGACGGGGGCCCGCACAAGCGGUGGAGCACGUGGUUUAAUUCGAUGCAAACCGAAGAACCUUACCUGGGUUUGACAUGUACGUGGUACGGAAGUGAAAGCGGAAGGACUGUGCCUUCGGGUACGGAGCGUACACAGGUGCUGCAUGGCUGUCGUCAGCUCGUGUCGUGAGAUGUUGGGUUAAGUCCCGCAACGAGCGCAACCCCUGCAUUCAGUUGCCAUCGGGUCGAGCCGGGCACUCUGAAAGGACUGCCGGCGACAAGCCGGAGGAAGGUGGGGAUGACGUCAAGUCAUCAUGGCCCUUAUAUCCAGGGCGACACACGUGCUACAAUGGCCGGCACAGCGGGAAGCGAGUCAGUGAUGAUGAGCGGAUCCCUUAAAGCCGGUCCCAGUUCGGAUUGAAGUCUGCAACCCGACUUCAUGAAGCAGGAAUCGCUAGUAAUCGCAGAUCAGCCAAGCUGCGGUGAAUACGUUCCCGGGCCU
rnacentral:rRNA from 1 species